GUGCUCACUGCGCCAGCACAUAUAAUAAAUUGGAACCAUACAGAGAAGAUUAGCAUGGCCCUUGCACAAGGAUGACACACAAAUUCAUGAAGCAUUCCAUAUUUUU
rnacentral:snRNA from 1 species